rnacentral:snoRNA from 1 species
UGCAAGUGAUGUGAAAGAAUAUUUGCUAUCUGAACAGCUAUGCUGACCUUUCCCACCAAGAUCACUGAUGCA